GCUGGGUGCGGUGGCGCACACCUGUAAUCCCAGUGGCUUGGGAGGCUGAGGCUGGAGAAUUACAAGUUCAAGGCCAGCCUUAAU
rnacentral:sRNA from 1 species